UACGUAGGCAGCAAGCGUUGUUCGGAAUUACUGGGCGUAAAGAGUGUGUAGGCGGUGCUCUAAGUUCGGUGUGAAAUCUCCCGGCUCAACUGGGAGGGUGCGCCGGAAACUGGAAUGCUUGAGCGUGGGAGAGGAAAGCGGAAUUCCUGGUGUAGCGGUGAAAUGCGUAGAUAUCAGGAGGAACACCUGCGGUGUAGACGGCUUUCUGGACCAUUGCUGACGCUGAGACACGAAGGCGUGGGUAGCAAACAGG
rnacentral:rRNA from 1 species